GACAGAACAAAACAGAGGAUGGAACUGCCUGAAUGCCUGCCUUCCAACCCCGGGGGCCCCAGAGCAGACCCCUCGAGGCAGCCCCUGGGGGUCUCAGAAUUUCUUGGCUCUCUCUGGACACUGCUUGCCAUUAAGUAUAGAAGGGGACCCUCCCACCUCCUUUACUCCGAGAAGCUUCAUAACAUUACGACGAGGGGAAACUGAGGACAAGUGACCUGCCCAAAGUCACCUGGCAACAGAGAUGGGAAGAUUCUUAUUUCCAGCACAUGCCCUGGGACAUUUCUUCCGGUCUGCCUGGCCAGGGGAACCCCAGGAAACAAGCCCUGACACAAGCGACGGCCGUGUAACAGUGGUUUCAUGCACCAGUGGCUUGCCCUUGGCAGGAAGGGGGGAACGGUUGUGUAAGAGCCACUGCGGAUCACAAAGGCCUUGCACUGCAGCGGGAAAAUGCCAGGAGAAAGCCCAAGGGCCACAGGAACCACUGAGGGGCGAGAACCCAGAAGAGGAGAAAAGGACACGGGGACAGGACGAGAGGCAGAGCGGGGCCACGGGGGUCCCGUAGGAAAAGGUUCAGCAGUGUCCACGCCGAUGAAACCUGCAGCCGCCCCGCCCGGUGCAUGGGACGGCCCCUGCCAUCC
rnacentral:lncRNA from 1 species